CCGGCAAAGAAUGAGACAGAAAUAUACAUACUAUUUUAUAUAUAUUCAUCUCAUUCUUGUGUCGAUUUACUGAAGUUUCACUUCUAUCGUGUGUGAAUCGCACACACACCUUAUUUUUUGUCACAGAUAAAAUACCUAUGCAUAGUUUCUCCAACCCCAAGAAAUGUCCAGAUCAAUUUAAAUCAUGGGUUUCCCUUGUUGGUGGUGAUCUACACGAUAUUAAGUGAAAAUAUGAGUUUUACAAGAAGAAAAAAAUAUGUGAUAGACAUUUCAAAGUCAUAAACCGUUACAAUAGAUUAAAUGCAACGGCAGUUCCUCCACUGUACUUGAAUGAUGCUGAAAACACAAGCAGCUUUAUACCUGCACUGUCCGUAUCUACUGGAAAUAUCAAAACAAUAUCUGUAAAUGAAAACAAUGGUCCUAACAACGAUCGAAAUAAAAAAUUGUUUAGUGCAAAUAAUGAAAAACAGAAUUUAAAAGAAGAAAUGAUUGCACAGACUGCACAAAAUCGAACAGACAUUCAUAAACCCAGUACAGAAGUACCAAGUAGGUCAGCUGAAAAUAAGGAUGCAGAAUCUAUGUCCUGCCAUCAUUGUUCAUUUGAAAGUGAACUUGAUAUAAUAAAUUAUUUUUUUGGUAACAUUUUGAUUGGUGAACUACAGUGUGUACCAGUUUGCAUGCGUUCCGAAGUGUUCAUUAAUAUUUUGAAAUAUGUAGAAUCUUUAAAAAAUAGACAUAGACAAGAAUCUGAGGAAAAUAGAUAAAUAAUAAUUAAUGAAUCAAUGUUGAUUAUCUAAGAUUGAUUUGAGUUAACUGGAUUGUUACAGUGAUCGUAUAGUUUAAUGUUUAUAAUUAACCAAUAAAUAAAUAAAGAUAAAAAACGGAAUAAAAACACUGAAAAAAAAAGUUAAAUCAAGCUAUUCCCGGAAGAUUAGAAGCAAUAGAUAUGCAGUAUUUUUUCCAAAUGUAUGCCUAAUAUAAAUGUUUGGAUAUUU
rnacentral:misc_RNA from 1 species